UACGUAGGGGGCUAGCGUUGCUCGGAAUGACUGGGCGUAAAGGGCGCGUAGGCGGUUUGUACAGUCAGACGUGAAAUUCCUGGGCUCAACCUGGGGGCUGCGUUUGAUACGUAUGAGCUUGAGUUCAGAAGAGGGUCGUGGAAGUCCCAGUGUAGAGGUGAAAUUCGUAGAUAUUGGGAAGAACACCGGUGGCGAAGGCGGCGACCUGGCCCGAUACUGACGCUGAGGCGCGAAAGCGUGGGGAGCAAACAGG
rnacentral:rRNA from 1 species